rnacentral:rRNA from 1 species
GAUGAACGCUGGCGGCGUGCCUAAUACAUGCAAGUCGAGCGAACGGACGAGAAGCUUUCUUCUCUGAUGUUAGCGGCGGACGGGUGAGUAACACGUGGAUAACCUACCUAUAAGACUGGGAUAACUUCGGGAAACCGGAGCUACUACCGGCUAAUAUUUUGAACCGCAUGGUUCAAAAGUGAAAGACGGUCUUGCUGUCACUUAUAGAUGGAUCCGCGCUGCAUUAGCUAGUUGGUAAGGUAACGGCUUACCAAGGCAACGAUGCAUAGCCGACCUGUGAGGGUGAUCGGCCACACUGGAACUGAGACACGGUCCAGACUCCUACGGGAGGCAGCAGUAGGGAAUCUUCCGCAAUGGGCGAAAGCCUGACGGAGCAACGCCGCGUGAGUGAUGAAGGUCUUCGGAUCGUAAAACUCUGUUAUUAGGGAAGAACAGAUGUGUAAGUAACUGUGCACAUCUUGACGGUACCUAAUCAGAAAGCCACGGCUAACUACGUG